GUACAUGCUUACAACAUAGAAUUAAUGCACUGGAUACCAAUAGAACUCUACAGUUGAGCGUGCUUGGGAUAGAGUAGUACUUAGAUGGGUGACCUACAGGGAAGUCCUAGUAUUUUAUAUG
rfam:Picea glauca, whole genome shotgun sequence.